UUGCACUGUUUGUAACCUCUUGACAGCAUAUUUCUGUGUAAAGGUUCCAUUCCAGUGCUGCGUGAAAUCCAGUAAUGGAAGGUCGACUAAUGCUAUGUCCCUUCUGUAUUUGGAGACAAAA
rnacentral:snoRNA from 1 species